rnacentral:rRNA from 1 species
UAGGGAAUCUUCCGCAAUGGGCGAAAGCCUGACGGAGCAACGCCGCGUGAGUGAUGAAGGUCUUCGGAUCGUAAAACUCUGUUAUUAGGGAAGAACAAAUGUGUAAGUAACUAUGCACGUCUUGACGGUACCUAAUCAGAAAGCCACGGCUAACUACGUGCCAGCAGCCGCGGUAAUACGUAGGUGGCAAGCGUUAUCCGGAAUUAUUGGGCGUAAAGCGCGCGUAGGCGGUUUUUUAAGUCUGAUGUGAAAGCCCACGGCUCAACCGUGGAGGGUCAGUGGAAACUGGAAACUUGAGUGCAGAAGAGGAAAGUGGAAUUCCAUGUGUAGCGGUGAAAUGCGCAGAGAUAUGGAGGAACACCAGUGGCGAAGGCGACUUUCUGGUCUGUAACUGACGCUGAUGUGCGAAAGCGUGGGGAUCAAACAGG